UGUAAGAAAGACGAAAGGUAAGUCGUUGGGUUCAUGCCCCAAAAAAGUGAGUUCGAAUCUCGCUCUUACAC
rnacentral:tRNA from 2 species